UUAUACGACUGACGGAAUUGUGGAGCUUACCACGUGAAGUAUAAGAGAUUAUAGCCGACCGUCUGGGCAUU
rnacentral:ncRNA from 1 species